rnacentral:rRNA from 1 species
GUGCCAGCCGCCGCGGUAAUACCGGCAGCUCGAGUGAUGGCCACUCUUAUUGGGCCUAAAGCGUCCGUAGCUGGCCGCGCAAGUCCGUCGGGAAAUCCAUCAGCCCAACUGAUGGGCGUCCGGCGGAAACUGCACGGCUUGGGACCGGAAGGCUCGAGAGGUACGUCCGGGGUAGGAGUGAAAUCCCGUAAUCCCGCACGGACCACCGAUGGCGAAAGCACUUCGAGAAGACGGACCCGACGGUGAGGAACGAAAGCCAGGGUCUCGAACCGGAUUAGAUACCCCAGUAGCC